rnacentral:misc_RNA from 1 species
GUUUAUGCGGCCACGGGCACGUGACAAGAAGCUUCUUGAGGAAUGGGCGCUCCCAUUGAAAAGCGUAGAGGAUGUUUAUGAGAAAUUUAUGAAGUACUGCCUUGGAAAGUUGAGAAGCAGUCCUUGGUCUGAAUUAGAAGGUCUUCAGGCUGAGACAAGGAUAAUAAGCGAACAGCUUGGGAAAAUUAACAUGAAAGGUUUCCUUUCUAUCAACAGCCAACCAGCAGUUAACGGAGAAAGAUCUGAUUCUCCUUCUGUAGGAUGGGGUGGACCAGGAGGUUACGUUUAUCAAAAGGCAUACAUCGAGUUUUUCUGUUCCAGGGAAAAUUUGGAUGCUGUUGUUGACAAAUGCAGGGCUUUCCCAUCUCUAACCUACAUGGCGGUGAAUAAGGAAGGCAUUUGG